GAUGAACGCUGGCGGCGUGCUUAACACAUGCAAGUCGAGCGAAGCAUUUUAAAGGAAGUUUUCGGAUGGAAUUUAAGAUGACUUAGCGGCGGACGGGUGAGUAACGCGUGGGUAACCUGCCUCAUACAGGGGGAUAACAGUUAGAAAUGACUGCUAAUACCGCAUAAGCGGACAGUGCUGCAUUGCACAGUGUGAAAAACUCCGGUGGUAUGAGAUGGACCCGCGUCUGAUUAGGUAGUUGGUGAGGUAACGGCCCACCAAGCCGACGAUCAGUAGCCGACCUGAGAGGGUGACCGGCCACAUUGGGACUGAGACACGGCCCAAACUCCUACGGGAGGCAGCAGUGGGGAAUAUUGGACAAUGGGGGAAACCCUGAUCCAGCGACGCCGCGUGAGUGAAGAAGUAUUUCGGUAUGUAAAGCUCUAUCAGCAGGGAAGAAAAUGACGGUACCUGACUAAGAAGCCCCGGCUAACUACGUGCCAGCCGCCGCAGUAACAC
rnacentral:rRNA from 1 species